GGGUUUGUUCCCUAUGUCGGCCCAUAGGGCACUUGCCUCCUAAGCAAGUUUUCCCCGGUUCGAAUCCGGGCGGGCCCGCCA
rnacentral:tRNA from 1 species